UAGAACGCUGAUCUUCCUGUCUCCACC
rnacentral:piRNA from 1 species